rnacentral:rRNA from 1 species
AACGAACGCUGGCGGCAUGCCUAACACAUGCAAGUCGAACGAGACCUUCGGGUCUAGUGGCGCACGGGUGCGUAACGCGUGGGAACCUGCCCUUAGGUUCGGAAUAACUCCCCGAAAGGGGUGCUAAUACCGGAUAAUGUCUUCGGACCAAAGAUUUAUCGCCUUUGGAUGGGCCCGCGUUGGAUUAGCUAGUUGGUAGGGUAAAAGCCUACCAAGGCGACGAUCCAUAGCUGGUCUGAGAGGAUGAUCAGCCACACUGGGACUGAGACACGGCCCAGACUCCUACGGGAGGCAGCAGUGGGGAAUAUUGGACAAUGGGCGAAAGCCUGAUCCAGCAAUGCCGCGUGAGUGAUGAAGGCCUUAGGGUUGUAAAGUUCUUUUACCCGGGAUGAUAAUGACAGUACCGGGAGAAUAAGCUCCGGCUAACUACGUG